rnacentral:rRNA from 1 species
GAUGGGCUCGCGGCCUAUCAGCUUGUUGGUGAGGUAAUGGCUCACCAAGGCGUCGACGGGUAGCCGGCCUGAGAGGGUGACCGGCCACACUGGGACUGAGACACGGCCCAGACUCCUACGGGAGGCAGCAGUGGGGAAUAUUGCACAAUGGGCGAAAGCCUGAUGCAGCAACGCCGCGUGAGGGAUGACGGCCUUCGGGUUGUAAACCUCUUUUAGCAGGGAAGAAGCGAAAGUGACGGUACCUGCAGAAAAAGCGCCGGCUAACUACGUGCCAGCAGCCGCGGUAAUACGUAGGGCGCAAGCGUUAUCCGGAAUUAUUGGGCGUAAAGAGCUCGUAGGCGGUUUGUCGCGUCUGCUGUGAAAUCCGGAGGCUCAACCUCCGGCCUGCAGUGGGUACGGGCAGACUAGAGUGCGGUAGGGGAGAUUGGAAUUCCUGGUGUAGCGGUGGAAUGCGCAGAUAUCAGGAGGAACACCGAUGGCGAAGGCAGAUCUCUGGGCCGUAACUGACGCUGAGGAGCGAAAGGGUGGGGAGCAAACAGGCUUAGAUACCCUGGUAGUCCACCCCGUAAACGUUGGGAACUAGUUGUGGGGUCCAUUCCACGGAUUCCGUGACGCAGCUAACGCAUUAAGUUCCCCGCCUGGGGAGUACGGCCGCAAGGCUAAAACUCAAAGGAAUUGACGGGGACCCGCACAAGCGGCGGAGCAUGCGGAUUAAUUCGAUGCAACGCGAAGAACCUUACCAAGGCUUGACAUAUACGAGAACGGGCCAGAAAUGGUCAACUCUUUGGACACUCGUAAACAGGUGGUGCAUGGUUGUCGUCAGCUCGUGUCGUGAGAUGUUGGGUUAAGUCCCGCAACGAGCGCAACCCUCGUUCUAUGUUGCCAGCACGUAAUGGUGGGAACUCAUGGGAUACUGCCGGGGUCAACUCGGAGGAAGGUGGGGAUGACGUCAAAUCAUCAUGCCCCUUAUGUCUUGGGCUUCACGCAUGCUACAAUGGCCGGUACAAAGGGCUGCAAUACCGCGAGGUGGAGCGAAUCCCAAAAAGCCGGUCCCAGUUCGGAUUGAGGUCUGCAACUCGACCUCAUGAAGUCGGAGUCGCUAGUAAUCGCAGAUCAGCAACGCUGCGGUGAAUACGUUCCCGGGUCUUG